CACACACAAUUUCUGCUGUCUUGGAGAAAAAAACACAUGCUUGGUUCCAAGCAAAGCAGAAAAGGAUGACCUUUCCAGGGCAGGGCUGGGCGAGAAGCGUCUUACCUUUCAAGGAGUCCAGAAAUGAGGCUGAGCUUGGCAGAGAAACUGGACUGGCUGGACCUCCUCAGCUGUGUGUAUGCUGCGGACAGGAAUUUCCUUUUGUAGAGAUAAAAAUGCACAGUGAAUCUUGCAUGAGGGCUUCUGAGGUGUCAGCGAGUGGUUCAGAUAGUAGGUCUGAGGCGUCAGCAAGUGCUUCAGAUAGUAGACUACCCAGACAGGCAGUCAGGUAUAAUCCA